GAUUACAGUUACUUAUGCGUAUGAAUUGCUUAACUUCUAUAUAUAACUUGUGUUGAUCUAAUGAUGGAUAUUAGAAUUCAUAAACCUUUCAUCUCAUGCACUAAGAAAGAGACAUUGAAUUUUAUCUCCAGCAAGUGUUUUGUAGACCAGAUGAGUCUUUUGACAAUGUCGAAUUCAAUUGGAAACAUUGGCUCGCACUAUUGCAAUUGUUUCCAUUACACGGCCAACUUAAAAUGAAUGCAAUUGCAAUUUGGGACUGUCCCGGCUUAGCUAUCACAAUCCAAGUCAGUUGUAUAUCCAAACGCAUUCUUACUUUGUCUAUAUAUGCAUAUGCGUUUUCAGGUCUAUAAACUUUUGAUUUGCUCCAAUGAGCAAGUCUUUGUUUGGUUUUUCAUGGAAUGCUUUUGUCACAUUUCACCCAGGUAUAGGAAUAAACCAGUAGUUACAAUGGCGAUGCUUGAUUUUUUUGAAGAAAAUAAUUGCUUCCAUCUUAGUUUUGGUGCAUGGUCAAAAUCUUUUUAUCGAAAAACUGUUAUAAAUUGGGUACCAUAUUCAUCAUCUUGAUUGAUACAAAUGGAAAAUUUUAUUGCAAAUAAUUUUAGUGGUCAUUUGAUCUUUGAAUCAUGAACUAACCUGCAAACCGGGUAGUCAUAGUUCAGGUGUAAUUCCUCCAGUUAUUAAUCUGCCAUAGUAAUUGCAUUUCAUCACGUGCCGAAUCCUACGUAUUCUCUCAUAAUCUUGCCAUCUAAUAUCUUCAUUACCUGGAAUCCCUGCCAUAUUUUCUACUCACAAGUCACAAUUCUAAGCAAGUAUCGCCAAACUCUCCUUGUAUUAAACCAACUCGUGGGCCAUAGCUGUCUAGUGACUCAAGUCGUCUACCCCAAGCUAGCCCCGAAGCCCCAAGCUCCUACUAAAAUAUAAAUAUAUAAUGUUAAAACAACAUUAUCUUAAACAAAUACAAACUAGAAAUUGAAAUUGAAAUUCGGAUGAAUAGUGCCUGGCCGAUCUGGGACCACUCUAAUGCCCCCAAAAUGAUCUGAAUUUUUUGUAAUCUGUGGGAUUCAUCCCACUAAUGCAUAUCCAUUUGGCACUAUUUGCCUUAAGAAAUUUGAGGAAAAAUUAAAAUUAAAUUCGGAUGAAUAAUGUUAGGUUGAUUUGGGAACACUUAAAUACCCCCAACGCCUGAAAUUUAUGCUAUCUGUGGGACUCAUCCCACUAAUGUAUAUCUCUAAUCAUUUGACACAAUUUCCCUCAAGAAAUUUGAGAAAAAAAAAUUAAAAUUGAAUUCGAACGAAUAUUGUUAGGCCGAUUUGGGUACAUUAGAAUGCCCCCAAAACAAUCGAAAUUCAUGCAAUAUGUGAACCCACUAACACAUAUCCCUAACUAUUUGACACCACCCCCCUUAAGAAAUUCAAGAAAAAAAAAAAUAGAUAAAUAGUGUUGGGGCGAUGUUGUUACACUUGGACGGCCCUUAAAUGGCAUGAAAUUCAUGUAAUCUAUGGGAUUCAUCCCACUAAUGCAUAUACUUUGCAUUUGAUAAAAAUCCCCUCAGAUAUUUGAGGAGAAAGUGCCACUAUUCAUCUAAAAAAUAACCUAUAAUUCCCAAAAAUAUCAAAAAAUAGAAAAAGAAAUGAAGAACAUUGAUUUAGUGUGUGCAUAUUUAGAUUUAAACUUCAUACAUGUAAUUGAACAAUCUACACUCCAAACAUUUUGCAAAAGAUAAAACUUUUAAAAAGUUGCUGGAAAUUAUAUAAAAACUAGCAAAAAUACAAAAGAAAAGAAAAGAAAAGAAAAAUUAUAUAAAGUGGCAAAAUCGAACACAAUUCUAGCAAGAUUGGUCGAUUUGGUAAUAUAAUGUUGAAUCAAUACAUUUGCAGCAAGAAAAGCUUACCUUUUUUCUUUUUUCUUUUUUUUCUUUUUUUUUUUUUUUGUCGAAAGGAGAAAAUUUUAUUAGAAGAAUUUUUGUUUCUGUGAUGGAGGCCCUUAGAAAAAUGUUAGAGAAAGGAGAAGAGAUAGGUCUGGUGGAAGGAUUUGGGGUAGAUAAAUUAAAAUUUCAGAUUUCGUAUUUACAAUAUGCAGAUGAACACUUCUAUUUUGUAAGGAAAAUAGUUUUAAAGUGCAGAAUCUUAGGUCGAUUGUAGUUUCUUUCGAGGCAGUUUCCGGGUUGAAGGUGAAUAUUAGCAAAUAGCAAAAGCGAGAUUCUUGGAGUUGGGAUCUCUAAAGAAGAUACAAAAUUUUUCUCGUCCAUUUUUGGUUGGAUCUUUUCUGACUUACCUCAACCUUCCAUUGUGUAUAGGCAAACCAACAAGGCACAUGUGGGAUAUUGUUGUCGAGUGAUGUGAUCGGAAGAUAUCCAAAUGGAAAUUGAGUUAUCUAUCUGUAGGUGGGAGAAUGAUUAUGAUAAAUACUAUGUCUAAUCUUGCAGUCUAUUUUAUGUCAUUAUUCAAGUGUCUAAAAUCAGCGUUGAAUACUUUCGAAAGAUGAAGAAGGGAUUUUUUUAAAUGGAAAGGAUUGGAAGAGAAACAUAAGUUUCAUCUCAUGAAGUGGGAAGAUGUAUGCAAACCGAGGGAUCAAGGAGGAGCAGGAUUGAGGAAAUUAGAGGAAAUGAAUCUAGGGUUGCUAGGAAAAUGGGUGUGGAGGUUUGGGAUAGAGGGUGGAGCUCGAUGGAGGGAGAUGAUAGAAAGGAAAUAUGGGGUGGAUGAGAGUGGGUGGUGGACAAAACCUUCUUUGUAUCGUGCCUCUUAUUUAUGGAAGUUGGUGGCGUCCCUAAAACAAAGGGUGUGGGAAGUGAUAGGUUUUGAGUUGGGGAAUGGGAAAGACAUUUGCUUUUGGGAGGAUAGGUGGUUAGGGUAGACUGCAUUGGCAACCAACUUCCCAAGAUUGGCAGGGUUAGCUAAGGUGCCAAAUAUGAAGGUUUCUAGUUGUUUCUCACGGAGGGGUGAUAAAGUCAUUUGGGCUCCCCCUUGUACAAGCCAUCUCCGAGAUGAAGAAAUCGAAGAUUUUAUUAGGCUUCUCCAACUAUUGGCAGAGGCUUCUCUGGUUUCUUCAAACACGGAUUCGCUAAGAUGGUUAAAAGAUAAAGCAGGAUUUUUUUCAGUUAAAUUAUUGUAUUGGUUUCUAACCGAGGGUGAGGGAAACGUGGGGAUAUCUUCGAUGACAUACGUACGACAAUACGGGGUUGUUGUUUUUGGAUGGCUAGUUGGAAGGAACAAGGUGCUAACAAUUGAUAAUCUUUGUAAGUGAAACAUGGUUCUUCUAAAUGUAUGUUUCCUUUGUCUCCAAGAUGCAGAAUCAGUGAAUCAUUUGUUCUUACUAUGUCCUUUUGCAAGGGAGGUUGGAACCAUUUCUUUUAGCUAUUUGGGGUUCUUCGGGUGCUUCCUGCCCCUAUAGACGAUUUCCUGCUAACUUGGCAUGGAGGGGUUAUAGGGAACUCAAAGAAAAAGACAUGGUGAUUGACUCGUCUAGCAGGUCUUUGGGCAUUAUGGUUAGAAAGAAAUGGUCGAUGUUUCAAGAACAAGAGCGAGAAAGCGAUAUAUGUUUUUAGGAGGGAUCGAAUAGUUUGUUGCAACUCUUGUUGGGGUGCAAAUAGCGUUGCGUUUAUUGGGUUUCUAAUAUUCUUUUGUACAUAUUGGCUUUUUGUCUUUUAAUGAAAUUACUACUUUAAAAAAAAAAAAAAAGGAAAAAAAAGAAACAGAAGCAACAGAGAAAAAAAGCUGCAGAACCAAAACAAAAGGCACCAGAAAACAAAGAGAAGAAAAGAAAAAAGAGAACAAAAGAAGAAAAAGAAAUGAAAAAAAUAUACAACAACCCUGGCCCAUGGCAGGAGCAACCCGAAAGUCCAAUAAAUCUAGUGGGCUUAAAUUGCACUAAGUUUUCAAUUUUCUCCAAGUUUGGCCCUGAAUCUUUGAUUCUUUGAAAAUGUCUUAAAAUUUGUGCAUUAAUUUAAAAAAUUGCACAAAUCUAGUUGAAAAUACCUUAAAAACAGUCUCAAGAAGCAAAAAUAUCAAAAAGAGGGAGAAAUUGGUGGAAAAAUGAAAAACAACUUCCUUUUGGGGACUUAUAUAUAUGGGCCAUUACACAUCCUUCAUAAUGGACUGUUACAGGCCAGUUAUAUCUGAUAGUUUUUUGGCACAGGAAUGGCCUGUGUCAUUACCAUUGUGUUACUCAUUUUGCAUACCUUGAUCCAAACACUCCCACCUUUGGUGGACCUGGAUACCACCACAUGCGUGCUAUCGGAUCGAGAUGCACUGAUCUUCCACCAGAACUCAUCAUCCAGUAAAAAUAUUUUAACUGAGAAUGAUCUUGCUUUUAUUUCUUUCCAUCGCCAUCUAUGGUUAGAUAUUGCAAAAUUGCGCAUCUGGUCUUAGUGCCUGGCAGAAUCUUCUCUCUCCUUAUCUAUGAAGUUCCUACAGAAUGUAGGAUAUCAUGGCAUCACGCCCCUAAUAGUUCUCCCUUGUAGCUAGAUAUUCUGUCAAACCUGUCCCAAUCCAAAUAAAUAGAUCUUUCAUAGAGCCAUGCAUCUUCCUUGAACCUAAUCACCUUCUUCACCCACAACAAGGUAUACACCUUUUCUAAAUUCAAGGUAUACUCCCAUCACUACCUUCAAAAUACUUGGGGCUCUAUACAACGAAGAGUUUUAGGUAUACCAUCCUCCCUGCUACAAUUGAUAUUUGCAUGAUAUGGUUUGUUUCCAGAGGCUAUUAUCUUCCAUGCCAAAUCUCCAAAUCCAUUUUCCUAGCAGUGCGGUCUUCAUCGCUUGAUAUUUUUAAUUCCCAUCCCUCCAAAUCCUGUGGUUUGCACACCUCAUUCUGACCAAGCAAGUGUACUUUUUCUUUUCUUACAUACUUCUCUGACACCCUGGCACUUGAUAGUCUGCUGUACAGUGGAACUUAUUCCCCAUUCCUGAUAGUGUUUAAAUAUUGGGGAUGGUUCUGGAUUCCAUUCAAAUGGCUUAAGAGGAAUUCCCCUAGUCUUGGUUUAUGAGGUGGAAAUGGAGGUGGAAAAGCGAGAAUUUUGAGAUUUGCUUGCUACCGUUGUAGUAAGACCAUUGCAGAAAUUCAAGCUUUCUUGGGCAGGCUGAAAGCUUGCAAGGCAAGACAGUAGCAGAAAUCUGAGCUUUGUUGGAAACUUGUAAGGCAAAAUAAUUGAAAGUGAUUUAAAAUUUUUAGUUGAUGUGUGCUCUAAAGGGGAUGUAUGACCUUAGUCUUGGGAGUGUUUCUUUUAUGGUGUAUCGUAAAUUCGUAAUGGCUGUUACGGGGCCGUGAAAGCCGUUACGUGAAAGUAAUGGUGGCAACCGUUACACGUUAUGGGGUCGUAAUGGCCAUUAUAGGAAAAAAAGAAAAAAGACUUGUAACGGCUGUUACAGCCCCCUUAACAGCUCGUUACGCCUCCCAUAAAGGCUGUAAUGGUCCAUUGCAGGGCCAAUACAGGGUUUUUGGGUUUUUUUUUUUUUCUAUAAAAGAAAGAGACUGUAGCGGCCAUUAUUACAGCCCGUAUCAUAAAGGUAACAUUACCAUUAAGGAAUACAUUGGUAACUUUAUAACAGAAGCUUUAGUCAAUUUUGUUUGUGAUUCCGGCAUAAUCAUUUUUUUAACACUUACCAUUGGAGAUGCCUUGUUUGCUGAUAGGUCAGCGGUUUUUAAUAUCAGAAUCAAGUGAUUCUAUGUUUUGUUGGGAAGGAUUGGCUCUUAUUGUUCUUGGGGUUCGAGGGCUGCCACUGCAAAAUUGGGAUGCAGAUGCGAUAUGGGGAUCUUACCUGUUGUGGUUCAGAUACUUCAGCCAAGCAGUGGAGCAUUGUCUAUCUGUACUCUGCUGGGGAUGGUUGUCCUCUUCUGCUCUUAAUAGCUGGACUCCCCAAACACAGAAGCCUGCCCAGUUGG